CACUGUUGCCUGCACACCUUAGAUGUUGUGAUGACUGAUCAGAUACUAACACACGCACCUCUGGCAGGCCUGCCUGUACCCCACGGAAGUUGGAACAUAUUGGAAUAACUGCUCCCCUGGCUGUCAAGGAUUACCUGGGCCUCUGGACUAACAUGGCAGGAAUUGUAACUUCUUCCUCAGCUUUCUCAACGGCAGUUUUAUUUAUGCAUUUCCUUUCUUCAGUCUGUUUUGGAAGACAGGUGAUAAUUAAAUGAUUCCUGGCACCACUUCAUCCUGGAGUCUCUCUGGUCCCAGGUAGCCACCCGCACAAUGGUGGUGUCUACUGCCCUCUUGUGGCGGAGGGAGUUUUUGUUCUUUCCAGUUUCUCAUCUGACAAAAAUUUCCAACAGCAGGGUGGCAGAAGUGAGUGGUCAAACAACCAGAGACCUGUUUCAGCGUGUUGAAGAGCCCAGAUGCAGAUCUCAACAGAGAGUUACCCACGUGUCAUCUGUCAUCGGAGAUGCUCUGUACAAAUAUGCCCAAAACAAAUAUGGUGCUCACGACUGAAGACUGGGCUUUUCUGGUUUUGUGAUUUGAGAGACUUUGGGAUCCUAGAAUGAAGGUCUUCUGGUAUUUAUAUUGGAAUAUGUUUUUUUGUUGCUUUUGCUACUGUCCAAGUUUUACGACUUGUUUUCAUUUAUGUAUGCAUUUGUGUAGAAAGCAUACCAAGUGUAUGCAGAUGCCUGCAGUAGCCAGAAG
rnacentral:lncRNA from 1 species